GCAAGAACAUACCUUUUUGAAAUAAUGGUAAACCAGCAUACUGUAUAGGCUUUUUAAAAAUUACAGGGUACAUAUCUAUGCAUUUAUAAAGUAAUCUUUUUAACAAAAGUGCACUGAAAACGAAAACUAUUGCAACUUUUGCUUAAAUAUUGGGGAAAGAUACUCUUGUUUCAUGUAGUGGGUAAGUACAAUAAAAAUGCAUACACAAUCUUAUAUCACUGACUCGGAAACCUUUAUUUAUUAUACAAGCACCACUUACCCUGUAACCACAUGAAACCAGAUAUAUUUCCCAGUAUAUUAAAAAAAAUUGCAAUAGUCUUAGCUUUUCUUGCAUUGAAACAUGUUAGCCCAAACUUAAACAUCUGCACUUUUGCUAUAAAAAAAAAGAAAAGAAAA